rnacentral:rRNA from 1 species
CCCAGACUCCUACGGGAGGCAGCAGUGGGGGAUAUUGCACAAUGGGGGGAACCCUGAUGCAGCGACGCCGAGUGGGUGAAGGAGCGUUUCGGCGCGUAAAGCCCUAUCGGCAGGGAAGAAGGAGGACGGUACCUGACUAAGAAGCCCCGGCUAACUACGUGCCAGCAGCCGCGGUAAUACGUAGGGGGCAAGCGUUAUCCGGAUUUACUGGGUGUAAAGGGGGCGCAGACGGCAGCGCAAGCCAGGAGUGAAAGCCCGGGGCCCAACCCCGGGACUGCUCUUGGAACUGCGCGGCUGGAGUGCAGGAGGGGCAGGCGGAAUUCCUGGUGUAGCGGUGAAAUGCGUAGAUAUCAGGAGGAACACCGGUGGCGAAGGCGGCCUGCUGGACUGCGACUGACGUUGAGGCCCGAAAGCGUGGGGAGCAAACAGGAUUAGAUACCCCCGUA